AACGAACGCUGGCGGCAUGCUUAACACAUGCAAGUUGAACGCAGAAUAGGACUUCGGUUCUAUUGCUGAGUAGCAAACGGGUGAGUAACGCGUGGGAAUCUACCUUUUUGUGGGGGAUAACUGAGGGAAACUUCAGCUAAUACCGCAUAAGCUCUACGGAGGAAAGGCUUCGGCCGCAAGAAGAGGAGCCCGCGUCAGAUUAGGUAGUUGGUAGGGUAAAGGCCUACCAAGCCAAUGAUCUGUAGCUGGUCUGAGAGGAUGAUCAGCCACACUGGGACUGAGACACGGCCCAGACUCCUACGGGAGGCAGCAGUGGGGAAUAUUGGACAAUGGGGGAAACCCUGAUCCAGCAAUGCCGCGUGAAUGAAGAAGGCCUUAGGGUUGUAAAGUUCUUUCACCUGUGAAGAUAAUGACGGUAGCAGGAGAAGAAGCUCCGGCUAACUCCGUGCCAGCCGCCGCGGUAAUAC
rnacentral:rRNA from 1 species